rnacentral:misc_RNA from 1 species
UGACAUAUUCAAUUGAUCAAGUACUAAUUAAAGCUUUAAAUUGAGGCAAUUGAAACAGUUACCUCUUUGUCAUCAAAUAAGGUUUUGUGAUCAUCUUCGUAGAUCAUCAAAGCGUCUUUGUAGUACAUAAUCUUGACGAAGGGUAAUCUGGAGCUUCGUUCAGUCCAGACUAAAGCUGCAUCCUAUGCGGUUCAUGAACUGGGAUGAGAUUUUGUCAUGGAUUCGAAUGACAAGGACUUUUGCUCCUUCUACACUAAGGAAACUAGUAUCUCAAGCGCGCGGUGAUUUACGCGACUUGGAAGCAGAGAAAUAGCAUGUUCCAUAAUUCACAACAUGUUGCUCCUGCUUUUGUUUUUAAGAUCCUUGAUCGGAAAUUCAUCAACUCUAUAAAUGCAAGGAGGCACCGAAGAAAGUUUUUUAACCUUAUGGGCCUUUCACCUUUGGCUCGAAUGAAGUUUCUACCUUGAAAUUUGUUUACUUCCUUGUUUUUUUUAUCCUUAUUUUUUUAGCCAAGGAACUAAAUCUUAGAUAUUUACAUGUAAAUCAUAAUUCUUCAUUUUAUAUGAUAUUUACCCAUUUAGCAACA